rnacentral:lncRNA from 10 species
GGUCCAGCAAAAUUCUGAUUUAGUAGGUCAGGAUGGAUCCCGAGAUAUGCAUUUCUAACAAAUUCCCAGUUGCUGAGGCUGCUACACUGCCCUGGAAUACGUGUCUCAGCUGUAUUUCCAGCAUUGGCCACAUGAGGGGGCAACAAUGUUUUAUCAGUAUCUGAAAGGCCUCACUGCAUGUAGGCCCAAAGUGGGUAGUUUUACCUUCCCCUUGCCCAGGCUUGGUGUGUGUGGGCGGAGGUGUUCAGGUCAGUCUGUUGUUGCUGUGUGCACUGGGAGAAGACCUGAGAAGACAUAAUCUAAGGACCAGGCUAGGGCGUGAAAUACCAAAGAAGUAUACAGCUCAAGUGAAAAAACCCAAACAUGUCACAACCUAGUGGUCACAACUUUGUGUCUCUUUCUGCUUCCAUUUACUGCC